AGUGAACGCUGGCGGUAGGCCUAACACAUGCAAGUCGAACGGCAGCACAGUAAGAGCUUGCUCUUACGGGUGGCGAGUGGCGGACGGGUGAGGAAUACAUCGGAAUCUACUUUUUCGUGGGGGAUAACGUAGGGAAACUUACGCUAAUACCGCAUACGACCUACGGGUGAAAGCAGGGGAUCUUCGGACCUUGCGCGAUUGAAUGCGCCGAUGUCGGAUUAGCUAGUUGGCGGGGUAAAGGCCCACCAAGGCGACGAUCCGUAGCUGGUCUGAGAGGAUGAUCAGCCACACUGGAACGGAGACACGGUCCAGACUCCUACGGGAGGCAGCAGUGGGGAAUAUUGGACAAUGGGCGCAAGCCUGAUCCAGCCAGACCGCGUGGGUGAAGAAGGCCUUCGGGUUGUAAAGCCCUUUUGUUGGGAAAGAAAAGCAGCAGGUUAAUACCCCGCUGUUCUGACGGUACCCAAAGAAUAAGCACCGGCUAACUUCGUG
rnacentral:rRNA from 1 species